UGUUACAAUAGCAAAAUUAUAAUCUGUCUCUCUCUUUUUAUCAUAAGCAAGCCAUAACUCACCUCUCCCGAGUCACCAACUCACUGGCACUGCUCCCUCUUUCCUCACCUUCAUUCAUUCCAUUUUUUCUUAUAUCCAUUUCCCAUAAAUUUCGAAUUCAACAACCUGUAGAUCAAAUUGUCUCCUCCAAAUUCCAAAUCACACGAAGAAAUCUGGAAUAUUCUCGGGAUCCAAACUCGGAGUUUAUUCUUGAAGCACGCAAUUAGGAUUUUCUUUGAGCGCUCCAGAUUUAGCAUCAAGGCGUCGUUAUGGAAACAAUGUAGGAGAACGAGAUCUUCGCACUAGUAAAUUGAAUCGUGCAAAAUUCUAAUUUUCGAUGGGAAGCAACUGCGUGGGAGAGAACGCAAGUGGCGGAAACAACUUCCUCCAAUUAAUGUUGGUGGCGAUCUGGAGAACGCAGCCACCGUAGGGCAGGCUCCCGGCACAAGACGCCGCUUCCACAGUAGCAACCACCAACAACAGGGAGACUCUGUCACAGUUUCCGGUGCCAUCAAUUCCCGCUCUGAUAUCCACCACCGCGGCCGUAGAAGGCUGCAAUCAUGCGACUUGGUCUUAGAGAGAUGAAGGCAUUUUCGAAGUUGUUGUUUCCAUCUGUUAAGGACAGCACAUUUUUCGAGAGCUGUGGUGUGGCAGACCUUAUCACAACUUGCUUGGGUGGUCGAAACAGGAAAGUUGCUGAGGCUUAUGCAAAGAAUGGGGGAAGGAGGUUACAAUGAAGAUAACAUCGAAGAAGAAGAACCAUUAAACCAGCUACUACAUGGACAAUUUUCGGAUGACACUUUGGUUAAGAAAGAAAUUAGCAGCAUUUAGCAAUAUGCUUCCUAAAUGUUAUUGUCAUUCCUUCGUACCCCUUCACUAUGCUAUAUGCAUUUAAUUUUUAGUAGUUUAUAUGAGCUUUUUUCUUCUCUUUUUUUUGGGUACCUCCACUCCAUAAAAUGGUUGGGGAAAAAUUAGCCUCAUUGUUAUUUUUGUAAAACUUGUGGGAUUGAAUUUGAAUUUGUUAAAAUACAAUGUCAUUUUUAGAGAA